UGGAAGCAAAUGAUCCUUUAUGUCAACCUAAAAUAUCACCACAAAAAUCCAACCCAAAUCAGCCAUAAAAUAACAAAGCUACAAAUCGCAGGAUUACAACAAAAACACUAAACUUUAAUUCAGAUUAUUUUUUCAGCCCAGUUAAAUCAUGAAAAAACUAAAUUAUUGGCUGCAACACUAAAUUAUUAUAUAUUAAUUAAAGAGGUUGUCCCAUUUAUACACAGGAUGGGGAGAAGUGUUCUGAUGGGAGUCCGAUCGCUGGGGCUCCCACCCAUCAUGAGAAGGGGGGCCCAUGUGUGUUCGCCGCUCCAGUCAAAUCUAUGGGAGUACAAGCGCUCGGUCAUCUCCGGCAAACCCAAGAGUGGAUGGAUCAGCAGCGUGCAUGUGUGACGCCGCUCCAUUCACAUGGGGGAGCGCGGUUCGCGAGAUUGGCGGGGGGCCCCAGUGGUCGGAGCUCCACCAAUCAGACACUUAUCCCCUAUCGCAAACCCCUUUAAAGAGAUAAAACACACAAACUCAGUAUAAUACACUACUUAAAACCGCCUAGAGCAGUCUGCUCAUACAGGGGUACAAGUCUUGAAAUACUUUUAAAGGUUACGUCCACCCUCACAAUUGUUUCUUCAUUGUCUCGAUGCAUCUAAAAGAAGAACUGAAGCAACUUUGUCAUAGUCAGCCAUUAAAAUUCUCCUACCGUUUUGCACCUACAGGUCCCAUGCAGAACUGAAUGUGUCUCCAUGGUAACAGACAACAAGCAAACCUUGUGCGGUCUGAUCCUGCAGCCACUACUGUCUUCUAUCGUCCUUUACUUUUUGCUAAUCUGACAUGUACGUUCUAAUAAAGUAGGGAACAAUUGGAAGGAAACGGGACUGCAGGAAAAGAUUACAGGUUGUCUGCAUAGGAGCUGGAGACAGAAAACGACAGGGCAUUUUGGAUUAAAAAUUUAUAGCAAAGUAGAUUCGGGCAUGCAAGUGCAAUCAAUAUCUUACCUCAAUGAGGUCCUUGAUUAUGAUAAACAUAUUGUUCUGAUUGAAGCAAGAGUAUUUAAUGCCAAAGAUUCCUUGUACAAGUCAUUCUAACGGAGAAAGCCAGUCAGAUGACUAGCGAAAUGUCUUCAAGAGAAAAUGCAGCAAGUCCAAAUGUUGACUUGGAUGAAUGAGAACCUGCGCGGACAUAUUGCUUCAUUUUUCACUUUAGAUGCAAAGGUGGACAGGGCCUUUAAAGGGGUAUUCCCUUCACAGACAAUGGGGGCCUAUUGCUAGGAUAUGACCCCCAUUGUCUGAUAGGUGCGGGACCUACACCGAGAACAGAGCAAGGAAGGUGCUGGAGGGAGCAGAGCUGGCUCGGCUACUUCCGUUGGCCCCAUAGAAACGAAUGGGUGUGGUGGCCGCGCAAGCACGGUACACUCCCAUUCACUUGUAUGGGGAGAGCGCUUGGCGGCGGCCACCACUCUCCCCACUCCGUUCUCAGCGUAGGGGUGGGUCCUGCACCUAUC